UCUCUGUGGGUCUCUAUGGGGUCUUUGUGGGGUCUCUAUGGGUCCCUAUGGGUCUAUAUAGCGCCUCCUGCAGGUGGGGAGGAGGAACUGCACCCUAUGUGUCUCUAUGAGUCCCUAUGGGGCUCUAUGGGUCUUAAUGGGUCUCUAUGGGUCUCUAUGGGUCCCUAUGUGUCCCUAUGGGUCUCUAUGGGUCCCUAUGGAUCCCUAUAGGUCUCUAUGGGUCCCUAUGUGUCCCUAUGUGUCCCUAUGGGUCCCUAUGGAUCCCUAUGUGUCUCUAUGGCAGCGCUGUGUGCGAUAGAGCGUCUCCAGUGCUCCCCUAUAGCGCCCCCUAGUGUCUGGGAGUCCCGCUGGAUCCCGCUCUCUGAUUGGUCCAUUCUUGGCUCCUCCCCCCAGGUGGGCGGAGUCUCGUACGACACUGAGCCCCCACCUGGAGUCACCCCCCCACCCGGAGGCGGCUGUUGGUUGGAGGAGCUGAAGGAGCCGCCGGGUGCCCCCCCCCACGACGCCCCAUGUGGGAGACCCACAGAUGUGGGGCAGGCCGGGCUGUGCCGUAUGAUCUGGUCUGUGGGCGUGGACCCGCUCCGUCUCUAUGGUUGUUCGGAGCUGCUGCUGGCGGCGCAGCGCCACCUGCCGGCCGGGAGGCCUCCAAAGGAACAACACGAGAGCGAGGCUCAGUACACACAGCGCCUGCGCCAGCUCCUCCAAUCAGAAGCGCCCGUCAGGCCGCGCCCACGCAAGCGAAGCCCCGCCCACCCGAUUUGCGUAUUCAAUCAGAGGACACGUGAUGGGAGUGGAGCUGUAUGAUUGGGUGGAGCUACGCCCCUGACUGCUUGUGAAUGGGGAUCACGUGAUUGGAGUGGAGCUGUCUGACUGGGUGGAGCUACGCCGCUGACUGCUUGUGAAUGGAGUCACUACGCCGCCUGCUUGUGAAUAGGGAUCACGUGAUGGUAGUGGUGCCGUCUGAUUGGAUGUUGCUAUCCCGCAAUGCCGCCUGCUUGUGAAUGGAGAUCACGUGAUGGGAGCGGUGCAGUCUGAUUGGAUGGAGUUAUGCCUCUACGCUGCCUGCUCUUGAAUGGAGAUCACGUGACGAGAGCGCUGCCGUCUGAUUGGAUGUUGCUACAGCUGCUUCUGAAUGGAGAUCACGUGAUAUAAAUGGAGUUUUCUGAUUAGAUGUUGCUAUCCCGCAAUGCCACCUGCUUGUGAAUGGAGAUCACGUGAUAAGAAUGGAGCCUUCUGAUUGGCUGUUGCUGCACAGCCACGCUGCCCUCAUAUUAAUAAAGAUCACGUGACGUGUUGCCGCCGUCGGAUU
rnacentral:lncRNA from 1 species